rnacentral:rRNA from 1 species
GAUGAACGCUAGCGGCAGGCUUAAUACAUGCAAGUCGAGGGGUAGCAAGAUUGUAGCAAUACAAUUGUUGACGACCGGCAAACGGGUGCGGAACACGUACACAACCUUCCUACAAGUGGGGAAUAGCCCAGAGAAAUUUGGAUUAAUACCCCGUAACAUAGCGAUGUGGCAUCACAUUGCUAUUAUAGCUUCGGCGCUUGUUGAUGGGUGUGCGGCUGAUUAGAUAGUUGGCGGUGUAACGGCCCACCAAGUCUACGAUCAGUAGCUGAUGUGAGAGCAUGUGCAGCCACACGGGCAGUGGGACACGGGCCCGACUCCUGCGGGAGGCAGCAGUAGUGAUUAUUGGACACUGGACGCAAGUCUGAUCCAGCCAGGCCGCGUGAAGGAUUAAGGUCCUCUGGAUUGUAAACUUCUUUUAUAAGGGACGAAAAAAGGUCUUUCUAGAUCGUCUGACGGUACCUUAUGAAUAAGCACCGGCUAACCCCGUGCCAGCCGCCGCCGUAAAAC